GAUGAACGCUGACAGAAUGCUUAACACAUGCAAGUCUACUUGAACUUCGGUUUGGGUGGCGGACGGGUGAGUAACGCGUAAAGAACUUGCCUCACAGUUAGGGACAACAUUUGGAAACGAAUGCUAAUACUUGAUAUUAUGAUUUUAGGGCAUCCUAAGAUUAUGAAAGCUAUAUGCGCUGUGAGAGAGCUUUGCGUCCCAUUAGCUAGUUGGAGAGGUAACGGCUCACCAAGGCGAUGAUGGGUAGCCGGCCUGAGAGGGUGAACGGCCACAAGGGGACUGAGACACGGCCCUUACUCCUACGGGAGGCAGCAGUGGGGAAUAUUGGACAAUGGACCAAAAGUCUGAUCCAGCAAUUCUGUGUGCACGAUGACGUUUUUCGGAAUGUAAAGUGCUUUCAGUUGGGAAGAAAAAAAUGACGGUACCAACAGAAGAAGUGACGGCUAAAUACGUGCCAGCAGCCGCGGUAAUACGUAUGUCACAAGCGUUAUCCGGAUUUAUUGGGCGUAAAGUGCGUCUAGGUGGUUAUGUAAGUCUGAUGUGAAAAUGCAGGGCUCAACUCUGUAUUGCGUUGGAAACUGCAUGACUAGAGUACCGGAGAGGUAAGCGGAACUACAAGUGUAGAGGUGAAAUUCGUAGAUAUUUGUAGGAAUGCCGAUGGGGAAGCCAGCUUACUGGACAGAUACUGACGCUAAAGCGCGAAAGCGUGGGUAGCAAACAGG
rnacentral:rRNA from 1 species